rnacentral:misc_RNA from 1 species
UCCUCUUUGUCAAAGGCUGUUUUUGUAGUAUAAGUUAACAACAAAUAGAGGUUGCGCUCGUUAAGGGACUUAACCAAACAUAUCACAACACGAGCUGACGACAGCCAUGCAACACCUGAAAAAAACUUUUAUCUUUUUGUCAAGAACUGGUAAGGUUAGGCGCGUAUUAUCGCAUUAAACCACAUGUUCCACCACUUGUAUAGACCCCCGUCAAUUCCUUUGAGUUUCAACCUUGCGGUCGUACUUCUCCGGCGGAGUGCUUCACGCUUUCGCUUUAGCUGGGUAAAUAUUUCUACUCCUUAGCACUCAUCUUUGAGGGUGUGGACUAC